AGCGGCCCACACGGAGCGUCUCUCUUCCCGGAAACUGAAACACGAGGCGAGAAAAAACAUUUUCCACCGGCUCUUUCUCUUUGUCCACCCACCUCCCUGCUGAAGCAACAUCCACAGUAACACCAUGGCGACUGUAGUAGACACAAAACUAUACGAUAUUCUCGGCGUGACUCCGAACGCUACUGAGAAUGAGCUGAAGAAGUCAUACCGGAAACUGGCAAAAGAAUACCACCCUGACAAGAACCCAAAUGCUGGCGACAAGUUCAAAGAAAUUU